rnacentral:misc_RNA from 1 species
GAAACUUUCUCCACUGUUUUUUUCACAAUAGUCUUGAAUGCCUCUUUACUCAUGUUUCCCUGGCGCCACGACGGCUUGAGAACUUCCUUAACAAAUUCUGCAAGAGCAAUCUUGAAAAGCUUCAUCGACCUGGAAUCUUUGGUCUUUUUACUCUUUCCUGGAGAUCGGACUUGAUCGAUCUCAAUCUCACCCACAGCAGCA